GCAGCUCCUACCCUACUCUAUUCCAUCAGAAGCUGAAAGGUGUUGCAGCUUUGCCCUUCACCUAUUCUUUCCACUACACAGGGCUACCUGGAAAACCACUUCAGACACAUUUUGUCUUCCAUCUGGUUCAGCUGCACAGAGCCUCAUAAGAGUAACAGGACUGUUGAAGUCUGAUUUUUUUUUUCCUGUUUACAAACUGCAUUGCUUUUGUAAAUGCCUGAUAACCUAAUGUUAAGAGACACUUCUGCA